rnacentral:rRNA from 6 species
UCAACUUGAGAGUUUGAUCCUGGCUCAGAACGAACGCUGGCGGCAGGCUUAACACAUGCAAGUCGAGCGCCCCUCCUUCAAGCAAGCUUGAAGGUCCUUUGGCCGAAGGCCAGGAAAGAGGAUCAAGAAAGCCGAGCUUUCUUGAUGGAGGGGAGCGGCAGACGGGUGAGUAACGCGUGGGAAUCUACCUAGCUCUACGGAAUAACCCAGGGAAACUUGGACUAAUACCGUAUACGUCCGAGAGGAGAAAGAUUUAUCGGAGUUAGAUGAGCCCGCGUUGGAUUAGCUAGUUGGUGGGGUAAAGGCCUACCAAGGCGACGAUCCAUAGCUGGUCUGAGAGGAUGAUCAGCCACACUGGGACUGAGACACGGCCCAGACUCCUACGGGAGGCAGCAGUGGGGAAUAUUGGACAAUGGGCGCAAGCCUGAUCCAGCCAUGCCGCGUGAGUGAUGACGGCCUUAGGGUUGUAAAGCUCUUUCAACGGUGAAGAUAAUGACGGUAACCGUAGAAGAAGCCCCGGCUAACUUCGUGCCAGCAGCCGCGGUAAUACGAAGGGGGCUAGCGUUGUUCGGAAUUACUGGGCGUAAAGCGCACGUAGGCGGAUACUUAAGUCAGGGGUGAAAUCCCGGGGCUCAACCCCGGAACUGCCUUUGAUACUGGGUAUCUAGAGUAUGGUAGAGGUGAGUGGAAUUCCGAGUGUAGAGGUGAAAUUCGUAGAUAUUCGGAGGAACACCAGUGGCGAAGGCGGCUCACUGGACCAUUACUGACGCU